rnacentral:piRNA from 1 species
UAAAAGGAAGAGGUUUCCACCACUGA